UCAAACUUGGUCAUUUAGAGGAAGUAAAAGUCGUAACAAGGUUUCCGUAGGUGAACCUGCGGAAGGAUCAUUAACGUAUCCCCGACGGGGUGCGGUCCGCCCUGCUCCGGCCCGAACGGCCGUGCAGCGGGCGGCCGUCCCCGCUCGAACCUCACAAACCCACUGUGAACCUUCACGGCGGAGGGGCCCGGCUCGCGCCGCGUCCCCGAUGCCGCGUCCCAAACUCUAGUCGUUAAGAACGUGUCGCGGACUCGUGCCGCCUAAACUUGUAACAACUUUCAACAACGGAUCUCUUGGCUCUCGCAUCGAUGAAGAACGCAGC
rnacentral:misc_RNA from 1 species